GUGACAUGUGGGGUUGCAGGGUGACAGUUGGGUUGACAGGUGGGGUGGCAGGGUGACAGAUGGGGUGGCAGUUGGGGUGGCAGGGUGACAGGGUGACAGGUGGGGUGGCAGGGUGACAGGCAGGGUGACAGGUGGGGUGACAUGUGGGGUGGCAGGGUGACAGAUGGGGUGUCAGGGUUGCAGGGUGACAGUUUGGGUGGCAGGGUGACAGGUGGGGUGAAAG